CAGCAGCCGCGUUAAUACGUAGGUGGCAAGCGUUGUCCGGAAUUAUUGGGCGUAAAGCGUGCGCAGGCGGUUUUGUAAGACAGGCGUGAAAUCCCCGGGCUCAACCUGGGAAUGGCGCUUGUGACUGCGAAGCUAGAGUGCGGCAGAGGGGGAUGGAAUUCCGCGUGUAGCAGUGAAAUGCGUAGAUAUGCGGAGGAACACCGAUGGCGAAGGCAAUCCCCUGGGCCUGCACUGACGCUCAUGCACGAAAGCGUGGGGAGCAAACAGGAUUAGAUACCCCGGUAGUCCCUGUCUCUUAUAC
rnacentral:rRNA from 1 species